CAGGAAGCAGCACCCCUCCAUGGCCUCUGCGUCAGCUCCUGCCUCAGGAUCCUGCCCUGUUUGAGUUCCUGUCCUCACUGCUUUUGAGGAGCUGUUACACAGAACUGUUAGAGCUAGUGACCGGAGGCUCCUGUGUGACAGACGACCUCUCCAGAGAUGCGUAGGUGACCAUGGACUUAGACACCUUGUCCUCGUCCUCCUGUAUCUGUGAAGUUGCUCCAGGAAACCCACCUGCUCCUGUGCUCGGUCUGCCCCCCCCCCCCCUUUCUAAUGCUGUCCAGCUUGCCGGGAGAACGCAGGACAGGAGUCUGCCUGUCAUCCCAGUGAUAGCCACCCAGACACUUCUCCAGGUGGAAACAUGUGGGAGCUGUGAUUCACCCCCUAAGGAUGAACCCAGGCCUGAGUAAAGCCAGUGUUAGCAGCGCCUCUCCUGCUCCUUCCCACACAGUUCCUGAGCAUGAGUGCAAGUGGGACCCGAGAUCGGAGUCAGUAGCCUUUGACUGGGGACAAGUGGGCCCAGAGCAUCUGGGAAGGGGGAAUUUGGGACGGCCUUGCACCCUUACCUCCCAGCUGAGGUGCCGCUGGAGCUGGCCAAGGCCUUCUUCACAGACUUUUCUCCCCGGUACCGAUGCUUCCUCAAGACUUUGGGUGACAAGAGUCCAAGGCAAGAACAGAGGAGAAGAGGUGACGAUAGGCUGCAGCGGCCACCAACUUCCCGCCGCCACCUUCCCUGAGACCCGCAGCUCUGUGCAUCUACCUGUGUGGGAGCGAUCCUUAUCACACGGCAAUGCCAGCUUUGUCUGAGGAAUUCUGAAACCAAAGGGAAGGAAGUGACUUUUCCACAUGACCGUGGCAACAGCCCAGGCCGAGGCCCGGGUGACAAACUGUUGGUCCUCAGUACCACAUGCAUGGGCUCAGGAAUUUGGGUGAGUAAUGGAGUUUUAAGAGGGGAAGGAGGCCUCUGGCCUGAGGUCACAGGCUCCCAGCACUCCACGGUGCUCCAGUGAGCAGGGCCCCAGAGCCACAGUGGCAGGCACUCACUGAAGGAUCUUCUUCACCACAUCCACAGCAGGGUCUUCAAUCAUGGGCCUCCCCAUGCGGGUUGGCUGGGAGAAGGACUCGGGGGCUAUAAGGCCCACUUUGGCUUCCUCCUCAAUGACCUCUGAAGACACAUGGACUUCACUCUCCAUUUCCAAGUCAGUCAGGACGGUGUCCUGCAGUCCAGAGAGAAAUUCUGAGUACAGGAACCACAUUUUAAGGAGGCAACAGACACCGUCCAUUGCCAUCUUUUCCUAGUGAUGGCUGGAGGCAAACUGCAUGGCUUCCUGAGGUCAUUUGUUCUAUGAGUGGUUGUGCUCCUAUUCCCUCAGGGGGUCGGCUGAUCAUUCAUUCAUUCAUUCCUGACUUUAUAAAGAUUCCCGAAUGCCUGCUC